rnacentral:lncRNA from 1 species
UAUUUUCACAGAUAAAGUACAGAGACUAGAUGUUGAAAUGAUUCAGCAUAAAAAUCUCGAAAAGAGGUCUGCUACCCUCUUGGGCAUAGAUGUAUGCCAUGAAAUAUACUUAAACAGAUAUAGUUAAUACUGUGAAUGACACGAGUAGAUAUUAGUUACAUCCAGACUGAGAGUACUAGAUUGCUGUGAAAAUAUCCUUGAGCUCUUGAGAAGAACUAAAGAUUUAUUCUUAAUUAAGAGAAGGAUCAAAGUUAGG